AGCAGUCGCCGCGGUAAUACGGGGGGGGCUAGCGUUGUUCGGAAUUACUGGGCGUAAAGCGUACGUAGGCGGCUUUGUAAGUUAGAGGUGAAAGCCUGGUGCUCGACACCAGAACUGCCUUUAAGACUGCAUCGCUUGAACGUCGGAGAGGUGAGUGGAAUUCCGAGUGUAGAGGUGAAAUUCGUAGAUAUUCGGAAGAACACCAGUGGCGAAGGCGGCUUACUGGCUCAUUCUAGACGCUGAGGUGCGAAAGCGUGGGGAGCAAACAGGAUUAGAUACCCCCGUAGUCCCUGUCUCUUAUAC
rnacentral:rRNA from 1 species